UUUUAUUGUAUUUAGUGUGAAUAUUUCAAAUCAAUUUGUGAUUUUGCUUUAGCAUUUCGAAAAAAGAGCAGAGUUGGUGAAAUUUACAGGGAAUACGAGCUUCUUUUUCUAAUUCUCAUAUCUUUUUUCUCUGUUUGAACCCAAUUUGAUGAUUAGGAAAUAUGAAGCUAGGUUUUGUCCUCAUUUUCUUCCCUCCAUGGCUCCAUAUUCACUCUUCUCAAACCCUUCUGUGCCGUCGUGUCUUCCUCUGCCAAAUCUCUUCCUACUUCCGUUGUGGUCACUGCAGCGAUGCCUGGUUUUGACUCUCCCAACUGGAGUGGCCGGCCAAGCACGUGAGGGACACUUUCUUUAAGUUCUUUGAAGAAAAGCGCCAUGUCUACUGGCGGUCCAAUCCCAUUGUUCCAUUCAAUGACCCUAGCCUAUUGUUCGGGAACGCUGGAUAAGUUGAGGGGGAGAGAAUGGGAGCUCUGGAAAAGGAAAGAAAGAGAAGAGCAUGAAAUGGAAAGGAUGUGGGUGAAAAUCCAAAGAAAAUAGGCAAUCACUUCUUUUCAAGCUUUACUUGUGGAGACAACCAAAGACCCUUAUUUGUAGCAUCUCGAUAUGGUAAUUAUACUGAAGGACAAGAUACAGGAGUAUAAAAAAGAUACAAAGUAGAUGGUCAGGACAUGGAUACUGAUGGUGUUGAUUUUGUUUUCAUUGACAGUCCAAUACUUAGUCACAUAGAGAAUAACAUAUAUGGUGAAAACCGAGAGGCACCAUGGACAGAAUCUAAGCAUAAGCUAAAAAAGGAUCCUCAAGGACGUGCACUAAUCCUGAUCUAGAUCUAGCUGACACUGAAAAGCUCUUUCGGUAACAUAUCAAGUUGUUUCAGGAACCAUGAGUAACUUCCUUCAAUGGUGAUCUCUCAGCUCACUGCUUCAUCCAUAAUAAGAGAGAAAUUUGAGGAUGUUAUUUAUCAGAGUGUCAAAUCUUUACAUAGUCCCAGUACUGGAUAACAUGGUAAGGCUCUGACUACCAAAAAUAAGCAAUAACUUUAUAAUGAGAAGGAUUUGAAUUAUAAUUCAAAUUAGUCAUUAUCAACAAUCGAAUCACUAAUUUAGUCAUUCUCUCUGCAUUAUUUACAGAUACUAAUUAAUAAUUAGAGUACUACUAUUAAGAUUAAAUUUAACAGAAAAGAAUCUUAUUUAAGACCGUGCAAAUGCACGAAUUACCUACUAGUCAAUAUAAUAAAGUAGAACAGAUAAAAAAAAAAUAAAAGAAAAUAAAAAAGACAAAGUUAUAUUUCUAAUUCUUUAGUUAUCUAUAGUAAUGUCAUCAAUAACUAUAAAAAUCAACACAAUUACACAACUUUACUCUUUUUAGUUUUUUAGUCAAUCUAAUAAGGA